UGGCAGCCAACUAAGCCAAUGAGGUUCCUUUACUUGUGGGUGCUCAGCAUGCAAUGGCUGCAAAGAGCAACUGCCUCAGCUGUGUAUGCAGAUUGUGAGUUGCCCUAAGGGACCUUGAAGAAGUGC
rnacentral:snoRNA from 1 species